rnacentral:rRNA from 1 species
AUGGCCAUCCCAAAGGCACUGCUUCUUGCCAUCAUAGGAAGCAUCUGCUUAUGCAGUAGCACCGUUCUAUCAGCUCGGGAACUUGGUGACGCGGCCAUGGUGGAGAAGCAUGAGCAGUGGAUGGCGAAGUUUAACCGUGUUUACAAGGACAGCACCGAGAAGGCGCAGCGGUUCAAGGCGUUCAAGGCCAAUGUUGCCUUCAUCGAGUCGUUCAACACCGGAAAUCACAAGUUCUGGCUCGGUGUCAACCAAUUCACCGAUCUCACCAACGAUGAGUUCAGAGCAACCAAGACCAACAAGGGCCUCAAAAGAAAUGGUGCUAGGGCUCCAACUAGGUUCAAGUACAACAAUGUCAGCACUGAUGCACUUCCAGCGGCAGUUGAUUGGAGGACCAAGGGCGUCGUCACUCCUAUCAAAGACCAAGGGCAAUGUGGCUGUUGUUGGGCUUUUUCGGCCGUGGCUGCAACUGAGGGCAUUGUGAAAUUAAGCACAGGGAAGCUCGUCUCCUUGUCUGAGCAAGAGCUAGUUGACUGUGAUGUCCAUGGUGUGGAUCAGGGGUGUGAGGGUGGCGAGAUGGACAACGCCUUCAAGUUCAUCAUCAAGAACGGCGGCCUCACCACUGAGGCCAACUACCCAUACACCGCACAAGACGGACAGUGCAAAACUAGCACUACAAGCAACAGUGUUGCAACCAUCAAGGGCUACGAGGAUGUGCCCGCCAACGAUGAAUCUUCUCUUAUGAAAGCCGUGGCUAACCAGCCUGUAUCAGUAGCUGUGGACGGAGGGGAUGUCAUAUUUCAACACUACUCCGGCGGGGUUAUGACCGGCUCCUGCGGAACUGAUUUGGACCAUGGGAUAGUAGCGAUUGGAUAUGGCAUGACGAGUGAUGGAACUAAAUUUUGGCUGCUGAAGAACUCAUGGGGCACGACAUGGGGCGAGAGCGGGUACCUCAGAAUGGAGAAGGAUAUUUCCGACAAGAGUGGUAUGUGUGGCUUGGCCAUGCAACCUUCCUACCCCACCGAGUAG